UUUUUAAAGGCCCCUCUGUCUGCUGGGGAAGCCUGGAGUGUGGGAGUAAGAGAGGCUGGAGUGCAGGAGGACAGAGGUCAGGGCCAUCGGGGUAGACGGUGAGUGCAGGUCUGCAGAGGGCUGCCAAGGAUGGAUGGGUCUGCAAUGUUCUGGAGGCGCAGACCCAGGACUUGCUCCUGAACUGCAUGUGGGGAAUGAAAGACAGAGGAGCCAAAGGACUUUGACUGAGGUUUUGGCCGAAGGACUGGAGAGGACGGUGGGACGGACCACGGACUGAUUGAUUUGGGGGGUCUGUUUCGGUCUGGUCAGGCUGAAGGUGUGGUGGAGGCUCAUGGAGGUGUAGUCCGUGAGGAGGGAGGCAGUGGUCACAGUAUAAACAGCGGCUAAAGCCGUGAGGCUGGUUGGGAUCCUUGAGGGCGGGUUAAGGACAAGGAAGAGGCCUGAGGACUCCAGCUGGGGCCCCAGAGUCCUGGGGUGCAGCCUAGGAGGAGGGAGAGGAGCCACCCCCCUCAGAGGGAUGCUCCCUGGGCCUGACUCAGGCCAUGCUGUGGACAGCACCCUCUGACGGGUCCCAGCUGAAUAAAAAUAAAUAAAUAAAUAAAUAAAUA